GAGCGCCGUAGCAAUACGGAGCGGCAGACGGGAGAGUAACACGUGGGAACGUGCCCUUCAGUUCGGAACAACCCCAGGGAAACUUGGGCUAAUACCGGAUACGUCCGUAAGGAGAAAGAUUUAUCGCUGAAGGAUCGGCCCGCGUCUGAUUAGCUUGUUGGUGAGGUAACGGCUCACCAAGGCGACGAUCAGUAGCUGGUCUGAGAGGAUGAUCAGCCUCACUGGGACUGAGACACGGCCCAGACUCCUACGGGAGGCAGCAGUGGGGAAUAUUGGACAAUGGGCGCAAGCCUGAUCCAGCCAUGCCGCGUGGAUGAUGAAGGCCCUAGGGUUGUAAAGUCCUUUCGGCGGGGAAGAUAAUGACGGUACCCGCAGAAGAAGCCCCGGCUAACUUCGUG
rnacentral:rRNA from 1 species